UACGGAGGGUGCAAGCGUUAUCCGGAUUUAUUGGGCGUAAAGCGCACGUAGGUGGUUUGUUACGUCAGCUGUGAAAUCCCCGGGCUUAACCUGGGCACUGCAGUUGAAACUGGCAAGCUAGAGUAGGGUAGAGGGGUGUGGAAUUCCAGGUGUAGCGGUGAAAUGCGUAGAUAUCUGGAGGAACAUCAGUGGCGAAGGCGACACCCUGGACUCAUACUGACACUGAGGUGCGAAAGCGUGGGGAGCAAACAGG
rnacentral:rRNA from 1 species